rnacentral:tRNA from 1 species
CAUUAGAUGACUGAUUAAAGUAUUGGUCUUUUAAACCAAAUUAUAGUAACAAUUUUUACUUCUAAUGA